GACGAACGCUGGCGGCGCGCCUAACACAUGCAAGUCGAACGAGCGAGAGAGAGCUUGCUUUCUCGAGCGAGUGGCGAACGGGUGAGUAACACGUGAGGAACCUGCCUCAAAGAGGGGGACAACAGUUGGAAACGACUGCUAAUACCGCAUAAGCCCACGGUGCCGCAUGGCACAGAGGGAAAAGGAGCAAUCCGCUUUGAGAUGGCCUCGCGUCCGAUUAGCUAGUUGGUGAGGUAACGGCCCACCAAGGCAACGAUCGGUAGCCGGACUGAGAGGUUGAACGGCCACAUUGGGACUGAGACACGGCCCAGACUCCUACGGGAGGCAGCAGUGGGGAAUAUUGCACAAUGGGGGAAACCCUGAUGCAGCGACGCCGCGUGGAGGAAGAAGGUCUUCGGAUUGUAAACUCCUGUUGUUGGGGAAGAUAAUGACGGUACCCAACAAGGAAGUGACGGCUAACUACGUGCCAGCAGCCGCGGUAAAACGUAGGUCACAAGCGUUGUCCGGAAUUACUGGGUGUAAAGGGAGCGCAGGCGGGAAGACAAGUUGGAAGUGAAAUCUAUGGGCUCAACCCAUAAACUGCUUUCAAAACUGUUUUUCUUGAGUAGUGCAGAGGUAGGCGGAAUUCCCGGUGUAGCGGUGGAAUGCGUAGAUAUCGGGAGGAACACCAGUGGCGAAGGCGGCCUACUGGGCACCAACUGACGCUGAGGCUCGAAAGUGUGGGUAGCAAACAGGAUUAGAUACCCUGGUAGUCCACACCGUAAACGAUGAUUUAUUAGGUGUUGGAGGAUGGACCCCUUCAGUGCCGCAGUAAACACAAUAAGUAAUCCACCUGGGGAGUACGACCGCAAGGUUGAAACUCAAAGGAAUUGACGGGGGCCCGCACAAGCAGUGGAGUAUGUGGUUUAAUUCGACGCAACGCGAAGAACCUUACCAAGUCUUGACAUCCCUUGACAGACGUAGAAAUAUGUUUUCUCUUCGGAGCAAGGAGACAGGUGGUGCAUGGUUGUCGUCAGCUCGUGUCGUGAGAUGUUGGGUUAAGUCCCGCAACGAGCGCAACCCUUAUGGUCAGUUACUACGCAAGAGGACUCUGGCCAGACUGCCGUUGACAAAACGGAGGAAGGUGGGGAUGACGUCAAAUCAUCAUGCCCUUUAUGACUUGGGCUACACACGUACUACAAUGGCCACGACAAAGAGAAGCGAAAUCGCAAGGUAGAGCGGAACUCAAAAAAGUGGUCCCCGUUCG
rnacentral:rRNA from 1 species